GGAAGGGAGGGAGAAAAGGAGGGAGAUAAGGAGAGAGGCAGGGAGGGAGGAAAUAAACCUGGAAGGGACUUUUGUUAGGAAUGUAUCAGCCAGGGUUCUCCAUAGAAACAGAACCAGUGGGACUGUAUGUAUAUAUACACAUAACCAAAACAGGUGUGUGGGUGUGUGUGUGUGUGUGCAUGAGAGAGAGAGAGAGAGAGAGAGAGAGAGAGAGGAGAAGAGAGAUUUAUUUUAAGGAAUUGGCCUAUAGGAAUGUAGGGGUUGACAAGUCUAAAAUCCACAGGGCAGGCCAGCAGGCUGCUAACUUAGGCAAGAGUUGAUGCUAUUUUUGCUCUUUUCGACCUUAAACUGUUUGGAUAAGGCCCAUCUAUGUGUUAGCUGCAUCCAUAAAAUACCCUCAUGGCAAUACCUGAGUACUAUAGUCUAGCUGGGUUGACAUACCAAUCUAACCAUCAUAAGGGAUUUGAGCCAUUGACAGUUACUAGAAAAAAGGAUAAUUGUACGUUACGGGUUAGAGCCAUAGGAUUACUAUUACUAUACUGAACAGGACUGCAGAGCAACCCACAUGUAUAACCAGUUUUUAAUGGAAAACUAACUAUAUGAGGUGCAUAAUAAUGAACAUCGUGGGUCAAAAGUGUAGCUUUCAUUUUGGUGAGAAAAUACAAGACUUGCCAUGACUACAGUAAAGAAUCUUCAUCUGUGUAGGUUUUUAUUUAUCAAUGGAUGGAAUCCUUCCACCUUGGUAUCAAGUGAAACAAGCAAGCCAGAGCUCUUAAAUAUUCACUGAAGGAGGGGUCAGGGUGUGUGUGGAUCCAGGUGGAAGAGAGGUGGUUUCCUACUUUUGGCUCUCUUCUCUGAAAAUUUCCUUUGAGCCCAAAUGGUCAACAUAAUAACUUAUUUCCAUCUUUCUGCAGGGGCUUAUUUUGCCAGCGUGAUUCCUAAUACUUUACUAUACUUGAUGAACUUACUGAGAGACUAUAUUUAUCUCCAUUCUAUCCAUGAAAGUCCCAGAUGUUGGGGACUUGAACUUAACAAGGCUUAGCCUAAUAGAGUGUUCUUCACCUUGGCAGAAAAAAGGAAGCUGUCGGGUUGGGAGAAGACCACACAUGUGAUUAAACUUCCCUAGUUCCCACCUUUCCUUCAUACCUUCACUUGAUUCAUGGAUGAUUCCAGUUGGCUCUACCUCCAGAACCCCAUCUGAGUCUGAGUGCUUCUCACCAUCUCUUUUGUGAUGUCGUCUGGCCCCUCCUUUGGAUCACCCUCCCUCUAUUCUUAACCCCAACAGUCCAUUCUUGACCCAGGAGCAAGAGUGAUGAUCUACAGCAUAGCCGGAUCAUGUCAAGUCCCUGCUUAAAAUUGAAUCCUAUUCAGGCUAUGAGUCGAGCAAGAAAAAUGAAACUUGAUUUUGGUCCUGUCACUCCUUGUUUCUCAAGUUGACCUGCUUUUAAAAACCUCAUAAUCACACAAUCAAAUUUACAAGUAAUAAAGUCCUUCCCGAUCGUCUGAUCCAAUUCCAGAAUCUAGAGGUACGGUAACCAAGACCCAAGGAAAGCAAAGUGACUUCACUUACAGAUUGAACAAUUAAACAGAAAUAUUUAAAACUUAAAAGUAAGUUUAAUUUGUCCAACAAUCCUUCCAUUUGCUUAGUUACAGGCUAUCUAAGCAGUUUUUAUUCUCUGAAAUAAUGGAAUGCCUGCCACUUUUGUGCUUCUUGUUUCUUUAGUCAAAGCAGAAAAAUUAACUCCUCCAACACUCACGCGUAACAUGUUGAUUUAUGGAUGAUUCAUCUCAAAAUUACCUUCCCAUGUAUCUGUUUAAAUUAGCUUUGACAAAGGUAAAGACAAGAACCAAAAUAAAUCUUUGGCAGAGUCAGAGAGAGAAGAAAACAAUGUAAAUAACUUAAAAAUAAAUUAUUGUUUUAAAACCGUUUGAGAACUUAGGGAGCGAUGGAUGGGAGGGAGUUGAAAGAUCGUGAGUAGACAGUGACGUUGGGACAGUCAGGCGGUGUCUCUUUCAUGUUGGGGCUCCUUUGAGCUUGUGGAUGUUGUGAUGAUUAUUGGGACAUGAGAUAUAAAACAGGACUUUUACCAACAAACUUGGAUACGUGAUUACCCUAUUCUUUAAGGAGAUUAACCCAGCAGAAACUUAUGAGGCCGCCUGGACAGAUCACGGAUUGGUAUGUCUCUCAAACAUACCAACUAAAGAGAGUGGGGGCCCACACAUGCCCAGAAGCAGCUCUCCUGUUGGGACACGUGGCAGAAGUGGACAGUAACUUGCUAUGUGGUCUCCCCAUCCACCUGUGUCUGGACCAAAGCUGCCCAUCUGUCCACUGUGUCCUGUCCCGUGGGGCAUCUUCUGUUUCCAAAUCUAUGGCAUGAGUACAUUUCUAAACAGUAAAAAAA